AUCUUGCUGGAGGUUCCUGUCUACCUCAGGCUUUCUGUAGAGCUCUACUGGAAUGUUUCCAAGACCACCAUGACAAAACUGCUUCGGUAUGGGUGGUAAACAUGUCUCUACUGUUACUGCAGACUUUUCUGCUGUUUGCUAUGCAUUCUUUAGCUACUGUUUCUUGAGCGGAAGGAUUCUUUCUGCACUACCACCUCAUCCUUGGACCCCUCACUGGAUAUCCAUGUGGAAAAAGGCAAACAAAUCAUGUGCUCUGCUAAGCAGAUACCAUUUACAGGGUGGAACCUGCAGAUCAUCAAGUACCUGCUGAUGCCUUACCAACUGUAUGCAAAAAUCAAGGUGUAGUCAAGAGAAGAGCUCACCUUCUCAAAAGUCUACGUUCGUGAGCAACAAUUAGAACUUAUGCUCAGAUAACAGCUCUGGAGUAAGCAGAAUUCCUAUGCAUUCAACAGUAAAGUUCAGAGCACAUCUGGAUGAAGCCCUACCAGAACAAUGGUGGUACUGCACUGUAAUUACAUGAAAGGAUUAUCUACUUCUCAACAUACAACCCCACAGCAGAUGUGCAGUCAUUCACUUUGAAAAUGCUCCUGUAGGACUGCAAGUAUUCCAUGACAGAGCAUGACUUUUUGGGAGAACCUAUUCCUGCCUGCAGGAACCCACCAGCUUUCAGAUCAGAAACAACUGGGCUCCUCUGACUGCUCCUGAUAGAGCUUUAAAGCUGAUUUCUAUGUUACCAGAGCUCAACAUGACCUCAAGCUAAAAAGUCUAACAAUAUUGAAAUCAAAAUACUUGCCAGACUGAUGUGACUUACAGUCCCCUUCUUAGCAAGGACGUCUUGAGAACAGAGCUGAAGAGGAAAACUCAUCAUUUUAUCAAUGUAAUUUAUAAGAUAGCUGAAAGUGUUUACGGAAAUGCACAGAUUUUCAAACGUUAAAUACACGUUGUACUCAUACUUCAUCCCAAUUCUGAGCUGAGGUUUUCAGACCAGUCAUCAAACAAAGCCUUGAUAGAACAAGAGCUCCUAAUGCAUGUUAAUGUCCUUGCCAAAAAACACAACGCGUGAUCCAAUGCAUUAAUAUACAAAGGGAUGACGUUAUUCCUUGAACAGAGAAAAAAAUAGAAGUACUCUCCAGCCCCCUCAGAGCUUUACUCCAGAAUCCUUUGUACAAAUAUUGAUGACAAAUUUUGGUGAAUCACACUUAAAGUCUUGCUUGUAACCACUCACAGAUCAGAAUGUGUGCUUUAGCAUGCACAGAUGGACAUAAGCAGUUGGUCCUACAAAACACAAAUAAAUUACAACAGUAGCACUGGGACAAAGGCAAAUGACAGGGAAGCACUGGCACGUAUCGCAUCCUUUGAAUUAGCUCAGUUAGCCAUCCUGCUGUCAAGCAAAUAUUUGGUAAGGAUGCUGACAGUCCUUUCACAGUUCCUUAUUCCUACAUGCCAACCUUCCCCAGCUGAGCAGAGUUCAUGCAAGGAGCCCAUUCCUCCAUGGGAGAGGCACUGCUGAGCCUCUGCCCAGCCAGCCUUGCUACAGAGAGCGCUGGCUUGCUGUUUUCAGUUUGUCAUUUAUCCAUGAAGUCCAAGACAUUUCAAUUCAGGUCGAUCUUUAAGAUGAAGCUGCUGCUUCUCCAAUGUGCUGAAAAUGUUUUAAGUGCUUUGGAAAAACUAAAUAGAUGUUACUGUACAAAAAAAAAGAGGUACUUAAAAGAAUGUAAAACUUAUAAAAUACAUAGGAUACUUUUGAGUUUCCUGUUUUAAAAUGAACCCAG
ensembl:lncRNA